UACGGAGGAUGCAAGCGUUAUCCGGAAUGAUUGGGCGGAAAGCGUCCGCAGGUGGCAAUGUAAGUCUGCUGUCAAAGCGUCUGGCUCAACCAGAUAAAGGCAGUGGAAACUACAUAGCUAGAGUAAGGUAGGGGUAGAGGGAAUUCCUGGUGUAGCGGUGAAAUGCGUAGAGAUCAGGAAGAACACCGGUGGCGAAAGCGCUCUGCUGGACCUUAACUGACACUGAGGGACGAAAGCUAGGGGAGCGAAUGGG
rnacentral:rRNA from 1 species